rnacentral:misc_RNA from 1 species
GAACUGCGAUAAGUAGUGUGAAUUGCAGAAUUCAGUGAAUCAUCGAGUCUUUGAACGCACAUUGCGCCCCCUGGCACUCCGGGGGGCAUGCCUGUCCGAGCGUCAUUGCUACCCUCAAGCACGGCUUGUGUGUUGGGCCGCCGUCCGCCCCGCCCCGCGGGGGGGACGCGCCCGAAAGGCAGCGCCGGCACCGCGUCCGGUCCUCGAGCGUAUGGGGCUUCGUCACCCGCUCAGUGGGACCGGCUGGGGCCAGGCUUCGUCAACCACUUCUUAUCUAGGAAGACAUCGGAUCAGGUAGAGAUACCCGCUGAACUUAA